GGAACGCGUGGCGCGAGCAAGCGCGCGUCGCCGCCGCGGAGAACGCGAGGAUCGCCGCGGAGAAGGCUGCCGCGGCGCUCAUCCCGAGCGCGCCGCCGACGUCGCAAGCGUCGGCCAAGGCUGAGCGCGAGCGGCUGGCGAAAAAGGCGCUCCAGGCGCGUAUUCCUCGCACUGGUUCCCAUACGACCCCGUUCGCGUGGUGAACGCCGUUCCUUAAGGACUUCUCUCCCGGCGUGUCUCUCCGCCCAUCGCCCCUCGCUUUCGAUCCCGACACACCUCGAUGCCUUUCAACUCCUUCAACUGACGCCUUUCGACUCCACCCCGACGUUCGCUUCGUAUGGAACGAACGACCCUCAGGCGGCGCGGGAUAAGGCGACGCUGGCGAGGGCGAAGGAUAAAGCGCUGGAGGAGCGCAAAGCGCGACAGCUGGCGGCGGCGCGGCACCUCGCGGCGAAGCGACGGAUGGCGGAGGGGAAGCCCGCGGAGAUGACGUCGGACCCGGGGCGGCUCACGCGCGCGACGCAUUCGCACGCGAGCAGAGUGGCGACGGAACGCGAAGACUCGGGGCUGUU
rnacentral:lncRNA from 1 species